rnacentral:rRNA from 1 species
GUGGAUUAGUGGCGAACGGGUGAGUAACACGUGGGCAAUCUGCCCUGCACUCUGGGACAAGCCCUGGAAACGGGGUCUAAUACCGGAUAUGACACACGACCGCAUGGUCUGUGUGUGGAAAGCUCCGGCGGUGCAGGAUGAGCCCGCGGCCUAUCAGCUUGUUGGUGGGGUAAUGGCCUACCAAGGCGACGACGGGUAGCCGGCCUGAGAGGGCGACCGGCCACACUGGGACUGAGACACGGCCCAGACUCCUACGGGAGGCAGCAGUGGGGAAUAUUGCACAAUGGGCGCAAGCCUGAUGCAGCGACGCCGCGUGAGGGAUGACGGCCUUCGGGUUGUAAACCUCUUUCAGCAGGGAAGAAGCGCAAGUGACGGUACCUGCAGAAGAAGCGCCGGCUAACUACGUGCCAGCAGCCGCGGUAAUACGUAGGGCGCAAGCGUUGUCCGGAAUUAUUGGGCGUAAAGAGCUCGUAGGCGGCUUGUCGCGUCGGAUGUGAAAGCCCGGGGCUUAACCCCGGGUCUGCAUUCGAUACGGGCAGGCUAGAGUUCGGUAGGGGAGAUCGGAAUUCCUGGUGUAGCGGUG